AUUGAACGCUGGCGGCAGGCCUAACACAUGCAAGUCGAGCGGAGCGGCGGACGGGUGAGUAAUGCCUAGGAAUCUGCCUGGUAGUGGGGGAUAACGUCCGGAAACGGGCGCUAAUACCGCAUACUAUCAGAUGAGCCUAGGUCGGAUUAGCUAGUUGGUGGGGUAAAGGACUACCAAGGCGACGAUCCGUAACUGGUCUGAGAGGGUGACCGGCCACAUUGGGAAUGGUAUACGGCCCUGACGCAUACGGGAGGCAGCAGUGGGGGAUAGUGCACAAUGGGCGAAAGUCUGAUGCAGCGGUGCCGCGUGGGGGAUGAAGGCUUUCGGGUUGUAAACCUCUUUCGCUAUCGAACGGGUAGGUGGAGAAGAAGCGCCGGCUAACUACGUGCCAGCAGCCGCGGUAAUAC
rnacentral:rRNA from 1 species